GGGGGUCUGACCCUUCCGUGCCGCAGUUAACACAAUAAGUAAUCCACCUGGGGAGUACGGCCGCAAGGUUGAAACUCAAAGGAAUUGACGGGGGCCCGCACAAGCAGUGGAGUAUGUGGUUUAAUUCGAAGCAACGCGAAGAACCUUACCAGGUCUUGACAUCGUGCGCAUUACCUAGAGAUAGGGAAGCCCUUCGGGGCGCACAGACAGGUGGUGCAUGGUUGUCGUCAGCUCGUGUCGUGAGAUGUUGGGUUGAGUCCCGCAACGAGCGCAACCCCUACGGUUAGUUGCUACGCAAGAGCACUCUAACAGGACUGCCGUUGACAAAACGGAGGAAGGUGGGGAUGACGUCAAAUCAUCAUGCCCCUUAUGACCUGGGCUACACACGUACUACAAUGGUCGUCAACAGAGGGCAGCGAAACCGCGAGGCGGAGCAAAUCUCUAAAAACGAUCUCAGUUCGGAUUGCAGGCUGAAACUCGCCUGCAUGAAGUCGGAAUUGCUAGUAAUCGAGAAUCAGCAUGUCGCGGUGAAUACGUUCCCGGGCUUUGUACACACCGCCCGUCACACCAUGAGAGUCGGAAACACCCGAAGCUGGUAGCUUAACCGCAAGGGGAGCGCCAUCGAAGGUGGGGUCGAUAAUUGGGGUGAAGUCGUAACAAGGUAGCCG
rnacentral:rRNA from 1 species